rnacentral:piRNA from 4 species
UGGCCGAGUGGUUAAGGCGUUGGA